rnacentral:rRNA from 1 species
CCCUUAGAUGUUCUGGGCCGCACGCGCGCUACACUGAUGCAUUCAACAAGCCUAGCCUUGACCGAGAGGUCCGGGUAAUCUUUGAAACUGCAUCGUGGUGGGGCUAGAUUAUUGCAAUUAUUAAUCUUCAACGAGGAAUGCCUAGUAAGCGUGAUUCAUCAAAUCGCGUUGAUUACGUCCCUGCCCUUUGUACACACCGCCCGUCGCUCCUACCGAUUGAAUGUGUUGGUGAGGAGCUCGGAUUGGCAGCAGUUGGUGGUUCGCCACCGGCUAUUGCUGAGAAGUCCUCCAAACCGCCCCAUUUAGAGGAAGGAGAAGUCGUAACA